rnacentral:rRNA from 1 species
UACGGAGGGUGCAAGCGUUAUCCGGAUUCACUGGGUUUAAAGGGUGCGUAGGUGGGCAAGUAAGUCAGUGGUGAAAUCUCCGGGCUUAACCCGGAAACUGCCAUUGAUACUAUUUGUCUUGAAUACUGUGGAGGUCAGCGGAAUAUGUCAUGUAGCGGUGAAAUGCAUAGAUAUGUUAUAGAACACCGAUUGCGAAGGCAGCUGACUAAGCAUAUAUUGACGCUGAGGCACGAAAGCGUGGGGAUCAAACAGG